CUAGGGGAGAGACUCUGACCUAGGGGAUAUUUGAAAGGCGGGUGCGGCUGUCCUCAAAGCCCGAAACAAUAACCUCUCCAGCGAAUUAGUCACCAUCAUUCGCGGGUCACCUCGACCUAUACGUUUCCACAGCCAAUGGUGACCGUUUAGUAUUGCAAAGGAGGAAAGCUACAUACACGUACCGGCGCCACUUCACGAGGAUCAGACAGAGCACCCUGGACACCAUCCUCCACCACCAGAGCCCCAUGGAUUCUUCGGUGGGGAGACAGUGGACAGAGGACUCAACCCCAAGGACAAUGGAAUUGAAGGAUGGUGUGGAAGAUAUGGCAGGGUCGUCUAAUGAUGUGGUGAGUCAGGACUUCUUUUCCACUCUGGAGGGACCUAGCCAAUCCCAGGUGUCCAUCUCUGGUGCACAUGAUGCAGGAGAGGAGAGCUCUGAUAUGGCCUUCAGGGGAACCCCCUAUGCACCAGUAGAGUGCCUCUGCCAGAUAAGGAAGUGACCAAGGAGGAGCAAAGAAGACAUGUUUUGAGAGGUGCUCUAAUCCACAGAGGCCGAAAAACAAGAAUGCAGGUGGCGCGAGAGAUAGAGAGACUUUAAAAGAAAAUUAUCAAAUAGACAGGCAGGACAGAAAGGAGAAUCAGGGGCAAUUUUAAUGGGCCAGGAGAUGAUAAAAGUUAUGGAGGAGCAAACGGAGUCCCUAAUCAUGAAGUCCCUAAUCAUGCUGCAUGCUGAAUUUGUUCGUGCUCAGCUCUCCCUCAUCACCAGCUGAUACAGAACUGCUUCUGCUCAGCCCCCCAAGCUGAUCCAGUCCAUCUCAGUAACCCAUUCACACCACCCCUUAGGACAGCUUCCACUAUGAUAGCU